rnacentral:ncRNA from 1 species
AUUCUAACGCGAAGAGUAACGAACUUGCGAACCAUCUCAGGUAGGCGGUUUGACUGGGGCGGUCGCCUCCGAAAGAGUAACGGAGGCGCCCAAAGGUUCCCUCAGGUCGGACAGAAACCGACCGAAGAGUGCAAAGGCAGAAGGGAGCUUGACUGCGAGACAGACAAGUCGAGCAGAGACGAAAGUCGGGCUUAGUGAUCCGGUGGUACUGAGUGGAAAGGCCAUCGCUCAACGGAUAAAAGCUACCCUGGGGAUAACAGGCUAAUCUCUCCCAAGAGUUCAUAUCGACGGGGAGGUUUGGCACCUCGAUGUCGGCUCAUCACAUCCUGGGGCUGGAGUAGGUCCCAAGGGUUGGGCUGUUCGCCCAUUAAAGUGGUACGCGAGCUGGGUUCAAAACGUCGUGAGACAGUUUGGUUCAUAUCCAUCGCGGGCGCAAGAAGUUUGAGGGAAGCUGCUCUUAGUACGAGAGGACCGGAGUGGACGGAUCAACGGUGUACCGGUUGUCACGCCAGUGGCACGGCCGGAAAGCCGCAUCCGGGAAGGAUAAACGCUGAAAGCAUCUAAGCGUGAAGCCAAUCCCAAGAUGAGACUUCUCAUCAGCAAUGAGUAAGACCCCUUAAAGACGAUGAGGUAGAUAGGCUGUGAGUGGAAGAGUUGCAAGACUUGGAGCGACACAGUACUAAUAGGUCGAGGUCUUAACUUA